rnacentral:lncRNA from 1 species
CUAUAUAAACAUGAUAUACAAAAAUAAUUUUUAAAAAAUAUGCCUCUUAGUUUGCAAGAGCUAUGAGAUAUUUUUAAUAUAUAUAUAUAAUAGAUAUAAUAAAAUAAAUAAAUAAAAUUAAAUAUUAUUUUAAUAAUAAAUUGCAUCCCAUGCAUCGUAUGGGGUUCUAAACUAGAAAAGAAUGGAAGAGAGCCAUGGGGCAUUCUCUGUUGGAAAGCACACGUAGAGACACAGAGAGUGGAACUCCAUUGAGUGUAAUGCUCGCACGAAAGAUCGAAGGGGUUUCUUAGGACUGCUCAUGUGCUUCUUCUCCGCC